rnacentral:rRNA from 1 species
UUGACAUCCAGAGAACUUGGCAGAGAUGCCUUGGUGCCUUCGGGACCUCUGAGACAGGUGCUGCAUGGCUGUCGUCAGCUCGUGUUGUGAAAUGUUGGGUUAAGUCCGCAACGAGCGCAACCCCUAUCCUUUGUUGCCAGCGAUUCGGUCGGGAACUCAAAGGAGACUGCCGGUGAUAAACCGGAGGAAGGUGGGGAUGACGUCAAGUCGUCAUGGCCCUUACGAGUAGGGCUACACACGUGCUACAAUGGCGCAUACAAAGAGAAGCGACCUCGCGAGAGCAAGCGGACCUCAUAAAGUGCGUCGUAGUCCGGAUCGGAGUCUGCAACUCGACUCCGUGAAGUCGGAAUCGCUAGUAAUCGUAGAUCAGAAUGCUACGGUGAAUACGUUCCCGGGCCUUGUACACACCGCCCGUCACACCAUGGGAGUGGGUUGCAAAAGAAGUAGAUAGCUUAACCUUCGGGAGGGCGUUUACCACUUUGUGAUUCAUGACUGGGGUGAAGUCGUAACAAGGUAAGCGUAGCGAG